rnacentral:misc_RNA from 1 species
GAUGAAGAACGCAGCGAAAUGCGAUAAGUAGUGUGAAUUGCAGAAUUCAGUGAAUCAUCGAAUCUUUGAACGCACAUUGCGCCCCUUGGUACUCCAUGGGGCAUGCCUGUUCGAGCGUCAUUUACACCCUCAAGCUCAGCUUGGUGUUGGGCGUCUGUCCCGCUUCGUGCGCGGACUCGCCUCAAAUGCAUUGGCAGCGGUCUUGCCAGCUUCUCGCGCAGCACAUUGCGCUUCUAGAGGCUUUGGCGGAUCGGCGUCCAUCAAGUACACCCACAGUUUGACCUCGGAUCAGGUAGGGAUACCCGCUGAACUUAAGCAUAUCAAUAAGCGGAGGA